CUUCUUUUAGUAAGGAGAUUGUAUCUCUUUGACUCUCUCCUUGGAAGCAAAUAUUCCUUACGGCUUUGUAUCUUCUAAUUUGUAGUUGUUCCCUCAGUGUUUUACUUGAGUAAGAAAUGAAACUGUCUUGACAGUUCUUCUAACAACAGUUUAAUUCCAAGUUCACCCUAACCUGGAAAGAACUCUGUGUUGAGUGUCACUGGUUGGUGUAUUUCUUAAUUACAUCAAAGGAAGAUAUUCAUAUCAGCUACUAUUUUGAUGUCGUUAGGUAUCACUGUGACUUUGUAGUCUUGCUUAGUAAGGUCAGAGUACACUUUUAGAAUGAAUCUUCUGAGGCAUUUUUCUUAGAACCAACUCAAGCUGUGCAUUUGCCAUCUCAUCAGGCUCGUGGGUGAUGUACUUUUUUAAAGAAGGCGGCAAAACUUGGCUGGCUUUCUUUUGGAAGGCGUGAUUUUAUUUUCUCAAUCUGUGCAUCUUGUGACCAGUGUUAGGAUGCUGGAAAAGUAGUUAGGAUCAAUGAUUUUAAAAAAUUGACUUUUAAUUUUAAGCUAAAUGAAAAGAGAAAGUAAAAUCAUGUUUCUGUAGUCUUUUAAAGAAGAUAAUCUGGAAAAUUUCAUCAGCCAGCCAAAAUCAUGAUUUUAACAGUGAUCUUAUUUUCCUGAAAGAAAUUUACUGAAGAUCUAUAAAAAUGGUUAGAUAAAAAUAAAAGAGGGAGGAGAAAAUGUCCAUUCCAGAAUCCUGAUCACAGAUAUGGGUGUAGGAUGAGAGAGCAUUUUGCAAUGAUUUUGAGAUUACUGACAGCAGGUCUUGGGUCUCAGCAUAUGGAACGAUGUGGAUGUGUCAAAUGUCUUCUGUCUGUUCCAACUGUGGAAAUUCUAAGCUGCUUUGUCCUUUUGCUGUGUUUCAGUCUUAUGUACGUGUUACCACCAGCAGCAGCUGUUUAAAUAAAACAGGCACACUGAAAUACAUACAAAAUAGGAAUGGUCUCCAGUGUUACACUUGUGAUAACUUAUGAUCUGGGAAAGACUCAGAUUCUCUCUGACUUCUUCAAGCCCUUCAUGGAUAAAGAAAAUAGAAGAGAAAAGAAUGACUUGUAAAUGGCCUACUAGAAUAUAUCCCACAUGUUUUUCUUACAAUAUAACUGCCUUGACCACUGGAACAUGGCAGAGGUGACCAAGGCUAGGUCAUAAAAGCAUCAUGCACUUCCAUCUUGUUCUACCAGGAUGCUCAAGCUCUAAGACAGCCCAGGUCCUGCAUCCAAGGAGGCUCUGCAUAGGUGGAGCAGAUGACAGCCCCAGCAAAGACCCUAGCAGACAGCCAGCAUCAACCACCACACAUGAGAGUGACUCCCAAAAUCACCAGCAGGGAGCCGGCAGGUCUGGGGUUCAAAUCCAGAAGAGGAAACUAAGGCCAGAGUGGGGAAGUGGCUCGCCCACCUUGCAUAGCCAGAGCAGGACAGACCUGGACAAGACCCAUGCUUGGCAUUCCUGCUGUCACUCUGGGAAGACUCUAUACUGGGAACAGAAGCAGCAUCGUUAAAUUCCUGCUCAUCACUCAGGAUCAUCGUGGGCAAAACUAUUUUUUAAGUGUACAAUUCUGUCGCCUUGAGUUCAUUUGCACUGUUGUGCAAUUAUCACCACCAUCCAUCUCGACCCCUUUCCUCAUCCUAAAUUGAGAAACUGUACUCAUUAAACACUAACUCCCCAUUCCCUCCUCUCUCCAGUCCCUGGCAACCACCAUUCUACUUUCUGUGAAUUUGAUUACUCCAGGUAUCUCAUGUACGUGGAAUCAUACAAUAUUUGUCCUUUUGUGACUGGCUUACCAUUCAUUUAUUGAUGGUUGCUUCCAUCUUUAGGCUGUUAUAAAUAAUGCUGCUGUGAACAUUAGUGUAUAAAUAUCUGUUCAAGACUCUGCUUUAGAUUCUUUUGGGUAUAUCCCAGAGCAGAAUUACUGCAUCCUAUAGUAAUUCUACUUUGAAAUUUUUGAGGAAUUGCCUGCACCAUUUUACAUUCUCACAGCAAUGCAUAAGUGUUCCAAUUGCUCCACAUCCUUGCCAACACUUGUUAUUGUCUGAGGGUGUUUUUGGUUGUUUUUUGUUUUGUUUUAUAAAUAGCAAUCCUAAUGGGUAUCAUUUGGUAUUUCACUGUGGUUUUGAUUUGCAUUUUCCUAAUGAAAGACACUAAGUUUUUGGAUGGUUGGUUACCUAGCCAAUAGAAAACCUGAACAUGAAUUAAUCACAUUUCCCUUUAGCACUGCCUACGAUAGACAGGCCUGUCUGUACAGAAAUUGUUUAUUUAUUUAUUUAUUUAGAGACAGAGUCUCGCCCUGUCACCCAGGCUGGAGUGCAGUGCCACUGUCUUGGCUUACUGCAACCUCCGUCUCCCAGGCUAAAGUGAUUCUUAUGCCUCAGCCUCCCAAGUAGCUGGGAUUACAGGCAUACACCACCACUCCCAACUAAUUUUUGUAUUUUUAAAAGAGACAGGGUUUUGCCAUGUUGGCCAGGCUGGUCUCAAACUCCUGGCCUCAAGUGAUCCACCCGUCUCGGCCUCCCAAAGUGCUGGAUUACAGGUGUGAGCCACCACACCCAGCCAGAAAUCUUUUUUUUUUUUAGUCAUUCUAGAACAAUCUCCUCUGUCUCUCACUCUUCACAUCCCUUAGGAGAUACUACAGGCUCUUGUCUCUACUUUCAGAAGAACACCCCAAUCCACCCCUCCUCUGUAACCCACUACUGCUGCUCUAGCUUAGUUCUUUGUGACUUUACACUUGGAUUUAGUGUACCCAUGAAGUAAUUCUUUCUCAGGAUUGACUGCAAAAUUGGUUUUUGCAAAUCUUGAGAAAAAUCAGUGAAGAAAUUGAGACAAUGGAAAAAAGUAUUAUAAUUCUGUGAUGAUUGAAGCUUAAUAAUCAACAAAGAGAUCAUUACUGUUUCAAGGGAAUCCAUUGACAUUAAGAGCAGGAAACCCCUACAAGAGAGUCAAAGGUUAAGGUCAACAUUUUGGGAAAUGGGAAUGGGAGUGUGGAGGAGGGACGUCAUCCUCAUCUAAUCCAACAGUCUGGCUCGUAGCAGUUGCUGUGUUCCAAGAGUGUACUAUGGUCCUAUCUGCUGCAAGCAAGGAUUCUUGCAAAUCAUAAUAAAUAUUAAGAAAUGUAUACCUAUGGUUCACUUUACAUAAACCUUAUGAGGGGGAUUCCAAGAAAUAAUACAUUAUGAAUGUAGAAUAAGUCUUUAAAUUGGCAAUUUUGAAACUUGAUUCUGUCUAGUAGUGUUAACCUUGCUAGGAGAUCCAAAUGUUAGGUUAUUUGAAUACUACUCACUUGUAUUUCCUGAUGUUUUCCAGUGUUUGAACAUUUGCUGUAAGCUAUAGUUGUUUAUAAAUACUUUAACAGAAGAAAUGCGAAGAAAAGAAGCUAUGAAUAUUGUUUUGGAAUGCUUCAUUGGGAAAUUAGAAAUGGA
rnacentral:lncRNA from 10 species